CCCACCCGUUCCCAUCCCGAACACGGAAGUUAAGCUCUCCCGCGCCGAUGAUACUGCUAUCGCGGGAAAGUAGGUCGUCGCCAGGC
rnacentral:rRNA from 1 species